CAGCCCCACGGUAAUACGAAGGGUGCAAGCGUUAAUCGGAAUUACUGGGCGUAAAGCGUGCGUAGGCGGUUUGUUAAGUCUGUUGUGAAAUCCCCGGGCUCAACCUGGGAAUGGCAAUGGAUACUGGCAAGCUAGAGUGUGUCAGAGGAUGGUGGAAUUCCCGGUGUAGCGGUGAAAUGCGUAGAGAUCGGGAGGAACAUCAGUGGCGAAGGCGGCCAUCUGGGACAACACUGACGCUGAGGCACGAAAGCGUGGGGAGCAAACAGGAUUAGAUACCCGCGUAGUCCCUGUCUCUUAUACA
rnacentral:rRNA from 1 species